rnacentral:rRNA from 1 species
CUCCGUAGGUGAACCUGCGGAGGGAUCAUUACACAAAUAUGAAGGCGGGCUGGAACCUCUCGGGGUUACAGCCUUGCUGAAUUAUUCACCCUUGUCUUUUGCGUACUUCUUGUUUCCUUGGUGGGUUCGCCCACCACUAGGACAAACAUAAACCUUUUGUAAUUGCAAUCAGCGUCAGUAACAAAUUAAUAAUUACAACUUUCAACAACGGACCUCUUGGUUCUGGCAUCGAUGAAGAACGCAGCGAAAUGCGAUAAGUAGUGUGAAUUGCAGAAUUCAGUGAAUCAUCGAAUCUUUGAACGCACAUUGCGCCCUUUGGUAUCCCAAAGGGCAUGCCUGUUCGAGCGUCAUUUGUACCCUCAAGCUUUGCUUGGUGUUGGGCGUCUUGUCUCUAGCUUUGCUGGAGACUCGCCUUAAAGUAAUUGGCAGCCGGCCUACUGGUUUCGGAGCGCAGCACAAGUCGCACUCUCUAUCAGCAAAGGUCUAGCAUCCAUUAAGCCUUUUUUCAACUUUUGACCUCGGAUCAGGUAGGGAUACCCGCUGAACUUAAGC